UAGUUGCUUAUUAGCUGUUUAUUAUUACUUAUAAAGCAGAUAUUAAUUAACUAAUUAACUUCCUUACUGUCUAUUAAUAAGUAUAUUAAGAGUUUGAGGCAAAAGUUAAUAGUAAAUAUGUUUCCCAUACCAAAGUGUUACCCCACAAAAUAUUUUACCUAUAUCACCAUGCAUGUUAUUUUCUUUUGCAAAAUUUUUUAAUAUUACAGUUUGUAAGGUUCUGACAUCCAAACGUAAGUAACACAGAGCAAUAUAAAAUGAAAUUCUUCCAUGCUGAUGGCCUGCACUCCUGUCGAAGAAAAUCUCAGGCUAAAAACCAUAUAACCAAUGAGAUGUGACCCCCAGCGUUUGGCGCUGAGAUUCUUCAGGACAAGGCCUUGAUGCCAUGAAGAUGGUGCUGUGAGGAAAAACACGGUGACACAGUCAGCCACGGAUGCGGAGGUCACCAAGCACGCAAUCAGGUGGUUCAACCUGGCGACGGAUCGGGCAGCAAGGAG